GGUGAACGCUGGCGGCGUGCCUAAGACAUGCAAGUCGAGCGGGGCAGGUUUAUACCUGUUCAGCGGCGGACGGGUGAGUAACGCGUGGGUGACCUACCCGGAAGAGGCGGACAACCUGGGGAAACCCAGGCUAAUCCGCCAUGUGGUCCUGUCCUGUGGGGCAGGACUAAAGGGUGGAUAGCCCGCUUCCGGAUGGGCCCGCGUCCCAUCAGCUAGUUGGUGGGGUAAAGGCCCACCAAGGCGACGACGGGUAGCCGGUCUGAGAGGAUGGCCGGGCACAGGGGCACUGGGACACGGGGCCCACUCCCACGGGAGGCAGCAGGUAGGAAUCGUCCGCAAUGGGCGCAAGCCUGACGGAGCGACGCCGCUUGGAGGAGGAAGCCCUUCGGGGUGUAAACUCCUGAACUGGGGACGAAAGCCCCGUGGAGGGGGAUGACGGUACCCAGGUAAUAGCGCCGGCCAACUCCGUG
rnacentral:rRNA from 1 species